AUUGAACGCUGGCGGCAGGCUUAACACAUGCAAGUCGAGCGGAGAUGAGGUGCUUGCACCUUAUCUUAGCGGCGGACGGGUGAGUAAUGCUUAGGAAUCUGCCUGUUAGUGGGGCACAACAUUCCGAAAGUAAUGCUAAUGCUGCAUACGUCCUACGGGAGACAGCAGCGGAUGUUCGGAGCUUGCGCUAAUAGAUGAGCCUAAGUCGGAUUAGCUAGUUGGUGGGGUAAAGGCCUACCAAGGCGCCGAUCCGUAGCGGGUCUGAGAGGAUGAUCCGCCACACUGGGACUGGGACAGGGCCCAGACUCCUACGGGAGGCAGCAGUGGGGAAUAUUGGACAAUGGGGGGAAACCUGAUCCAGCCAUGCCGCGUGUGUGAAGAAGGCCUUAUGGUUGUAAAGCACUUUAAGCGAGGAGGAGGCUACUGAGACUAAUACUCUUGGAUAGUGGACGUUACUCGCAGAAUAAGCACCGGCUAACUCUGUGCCAGCCGCCGCCGUAA
rnacentral:rRNA from 1 species